UUCAACACUGAGAUUUUGUUUGUUUUCGCCAGAACACGCGCAUGCGCAUACGUUAUUCAGCACUGUCCUAUCGCACUUAACUGUCACUAAGGAUCUUAUCAUGGGUACGACAACACAUCCGACAUUGCUUGAAGCGUGUAGCUUUAAGAGAAACACUUGUGACAUAUAUUUCGGAUAAUGUGUACGAGUUCUUUGUCUUACUAGAAUAGAAGUACAAUUCCUUGCUUACAUACAGCAAUGUCUCACAAGGCUAAUAUUAUUCAAUAUGCAAUUGAACAGAUAGCAAAGGACCAGGAACUGAUUAGAUUCUGGAUAAGAAUCUUACAAACGAGAGAGUGUACUUAUAUUGACGCCUUCAAAGAGAUUGAAGAUGAUCUAGAGUGGGACGCACUGAGAAAGAGCUGUUCAGGUGCCUUGAUGAUCAUGAGCAUGAUUUGAUGGUUAUCAACGCAUCAAUAGCAAGUAAUCAGAGUGAACAGACAGAUAAUUAUCCGGAUGACAACUACGAGGAUCGCGAAGGUGAAGUUGACGAUGAACUUGACGAAAUUGUUAACUUUGUUGAAGAGGAAGUGCACCUUCAGUCUGAUUUUGGCGAGAAGUGAUCUUCGAAGAGGACAAAUCACAGGAUUUCACAGGCUCAAGAAACCUAUGUUGGUGUAAUUACUCGCUAUUGAAAGAUGAGGUCAAGCCAGUUUGUGAAGCACACGCUGAGGACAAAGAAAAAGAAUGCCUAUCGGAAGAAGGGCUUAUCUUCUAAAGCUAAACAAUAAUCGCAGCAGGGAUAUUUGUCCUUCACUCAGGUAAUACGCGAUGCUUCUAACGGUAAAGAACCAUCGCAUUUCCUUCUCAAGUUUUUUUUUUUUACCGACACCACCUCCUUAUCGCAUUGUCCGAGAGAACAGUUGAAGAAGUUGUGUAUGGGCUACGGUAUUCUCUUUAGACAGUCAUCAAACCGCAAAGACGUCAACACUGACAUUUCUCGCGCAGUUAUUUCUGCGAGCUGCUACCCCCAACCGGAGUACUUGUAGUGCAACUUCAACUCAGCAAGAGAUUGUGCAGAGUGAUGGUGAGAGGAGAAACAAUGCAGGCAACCGGAGCAGAGCUAGGCGGUUUAAACUGAAUGCCGAGUGAAUGCCACAAUGAGACAUGAUUGCAAUAAAGGUCAAUGGAAAAGCAAAGUUGAGCAAAGAGCAAGAGAGUGGGGUGUAAAUCGUUUAAUCACUCAAAGAAGACCGAAGAAAGUCAUCAUUACUAUAGAUCAUUGAUACAAUGUUACUGUUAUUCUUCACUACAGUAUAUUCAAAGGAUUUCUUAGUAAUUUAAUAAAAACGGGUUAUUUGCCUG